rnacentral:rRNA from 1 species
GACGAACGCUGGCGGCGUGCUUAACACAUGCAAGUCGAACGGAAAGGCCCUGCUUUUGUGGGGUGCUCGAGUGGCGAACGGGUGAGUAACACGUGAGUAACCUGCCCUCGACUUUGGGAUAACUUCAGGAAACUGGGGCUAAUACCGGAUAGGAGCUCCUGCUGCAUGGUGGGGGUUGGAAAGUUUCGGCGGUUGGGGAUGGACUCGCGGCUUAUCAGCUUGUUGGUGGGGUAGUGGCUUACCAAGGCUUUGACGGGUAGCCGGCCUGAGAGGGUGACCGGCCACAUUGGGACUGAGAUACGGCCCAGACUCCUACGGGAGGCAGCAGUGGGGAAUAUUGCACAAUGGGCGGAAGCCUGAUGCAGCAACGCCGCGUGCGGGAUGACGGCCCUCGGGUUGUAAACCGCUUUCGCCUGUGACGAAGCGUGAGUGACGGUAAUGGGUAAAGAAGCACCGGCUAACUACGUG